rnacentral:rRNA from 1 species
GCGGACCGACGGGAGCUUGCUCCCUUAGGUCAGCGGCGGACGGGUGAGUAACACGUGGGUAACCUGCCUGUAAGACUGGGAUAACUCCGGGAAACCGGGGCUAAUACCGGAUGCUUGAUUGAACCGCAUGGUUCAAUCAUAAAAGGUGGCUUUUAGCUACCACUUGCAGAUGGACCCGCGGCGCAUUAGCUAGUUGGUGAGGUAACGGCUCACCAAGGCGACGAUGCGUAGCCGACCUGAGAGGGUGAUCGGCCACACUGGGACUGAGACACGGCCCAGACUCCUACGGGAGGCAGCAGUAGGGAAUCUUCCGCAAUGGACGAAAGUCUGACGGAGCAACGCCGCGUGAGUGAUGAAGGUUUUCGGAUCGUAAAACUCUGUUGUUAGGGAAGAACAAGUACCGUUCGAAUAGGGCGGCACCUUGACGGUACCUAACCAGAAAGCCACGGCUAACUACGUGCCAGCAGCCGCGGUAAUACGUAGGUGGCAAGCGUUGUCCGGAAUUAUUGGGCGUAAAGCGCGCGCAGGCGGUUUCUUAAGUCUGAUGUGAAAGCCCCCGGCUCAACCGGGGAGGGUCAUUGGAAACUGGGGAACUUGAGUGCAG